GUACAAAUAACCACAUGUCAUUUACUGUGAUAAAGAGCACAACUACAAUGUGCAUCACAGUAUAGACGUGUAUAACGUUUUCAAGUGUUUCCACCAUGAGAUCUAACUGUCUGACCAUCGUUCAUGUGUUCGUCUUGGUGACACUCGUCCUCACUCUGGAUGCUGAUGGUAAAGAUUUAAAUUGUGAAACAGAAAUCAAAGUCCGUCGCAACACAGUUUACGAAGCCGUCGUUGGACAAGAACUCAGGAUUAACUGCACAGUUGUUUUCUGUAACAAUUCACAAACAGUCUACUGGUUUAAAUUUGAGAAGACUCCUGUUCCUGUCAACAUCAGCAGUGGGAGCCACAUUAAAACAGACUGGAUAACGUUAAAACAUUUUAGAGGGAUUUCAUCACUGAUUUUCAAAAACAUUCUCAGUAGUGACUCAGGACAGUAUCGUUGUCAGAGUGGAGGCAGUGUGAGUCACACCAUCAACGUCUCUGUUCAUGAUCAUGUUGAGUCCACCACAAUGACAUGGACACUGGAACCAGAGAACCUGACUCAGGACUCUUUGUGGCAUUAUGUGUACAGUGCUGUUGGAGUCAUUGUGUUUGUGAUCAUAGUGACAUCGAUAUCUAUUGCACUAAUGAAAGCAUGUGAAGGUGUCCACUGUGCAGGAGGAUCCAGAACCACAACAGAUCCGAACCCUGAAGCUUGUGACCACGAAGCAGCCAUUUAUGAGAAUGACAUGUGAUGACUGAUUCUGUGCUUUGAAAUCUGUCAUAUUAAAACUCAUGAUAUUGAGGCUGUGAUUACUAUUAAAGACUAUAAACUAAAUAAUGAUGCAUUAAAUUUUUAUGAUUUACAGAACGAGAAAGAUCAAAAGCAGCACAGCUUUGAAAAUGAAUUUUUUUCUAGAAGCUUCUAAACUAUUUGUCUUGGUUUGGGUGUUUUGUUUAACACACACACCGUUAACAUUGAAAUUGAUAUGAAAUUAUAUUAAGGCUAUUCUCAAAGACUGUAAACUAAAUAUGAUGUGUUGCAUUUCUAUGAUUUGCAGGAUGAAAGAAGGUCAAAAGCAGCCUAAAGCUUAGAAAAUGAUUCCCCCCCCCCCCCCAGUAGUUUUCUAAACUAUGUUUUUAUUUUAACACACUCACUGUUUAUAUUGAAAUUCUGACUGUGUGCUGUUGCAGUAGUGGUUUAAUGAAAUUCUAACCAGUUUUUGUGUUUCAUCACUGCUCACACUUCUCCUGUAUAUCAGUUACUGUAAAUGCCCUUUUUUGAGCAUUGUUGUUUAUGUUGACCACAGCACCCCUACAGUAUUAGAUGUUCAGACAAGUGGAUAACUUUCCACUGUUUGGAAGUACGAGUCACGUCAUCAACGUCUCUGUUCACGGUCAGUUCUUCAUUCACCUUACACAUCUGAAAUGGAAAGUUCUGACCUAAGAAACCUGAAUUGAAUUAAACAAAUUCCAUUUCAAACACCUGUUGAAUAACAAUUUUAUUUUUAAAUAAUUUUUUUAUACUAGACUGUAAAAACUAGUCUUUACCGUCAUUCAAAGAUUAAUUUCAUCAUGCCCUCUGGACCUUUCGGAUUCGUCCUGAUGCAAAACUUCUGGCCGCAGACCUCGUCGCUUGGAUCCACCGUAUGGCCCUAUGGGAUGUGUGUGGUGACUGGAGCUGGUUACACGCUACCAUUAAGUUGGUCCUGGCCUCGGCGGACGUCGGAAGCCGUUUCUAGGAGGUCUCGACUCAAUGCUCGAUCGUCCAGGAAUGGAACAAGCCCACCUGCAAUAACUAACUGGACUCCACAUUAACUUAAAAGACAUUAACUUUUAUACUGGACUGCCUGCUGCCUACACAGAGUGUAAUCACCCAUGAGGAUGGGUUCCCUGUUGAGUCUGGUUCCUCUCAAGGUUUCUUCCUGAUGGCUUCUCAAGGAUUUUUUCCUUGCCAACAUCGUCCUUGGCUUGCUCAUCAGGGACAAUCUGAUUCUUACACAUUCACUGUUCAUGUACUGUUCUUUGGUUGUGUAAAGCUGCUUUGUGACAAUGUCAAUUGUAAAAAGUGCUGUACAAAUAAAUUGAAAUUGUUUCAUACAGUAGUUGAUCUUCAGCUCUGCAGUCUGCAGACCUCCUGCUCAGAAGAUAGCCGAGGAUAGUAACAGUUAUUAUCUGAUGUCUAACCCUAGGAGUCCCAUGUGCAAGAAAAUGCCGGGCCAAAACAGACAUGGAUCCAUUAGCAGGGUUGGUGGCUCUAACCCAGACUCUUCCCCUUUAUGGUGAAGUGCUCUUGGUCAAAUCACUGAGCCCCAAGUUGCCCCAGUGCUUCAGAUAGCAGCUAAACUGUAAUGUGUGUGUCCUGCAACCCAUCAACAACGAUGAAUAAAGUACUUUGGGUUAUAGAUUAAUAUCAAACCAUUUAACAUUGCUAAUUACAAAAAUGUCAUCUUACUGUCUGUAAGUUCAAAGUCUGAUUGGCUGCAGUUUGUUUUUCGGUGACACAAAGCUCCACUGUUCAAAUACUAUUAAAA
rnacentral:lncRNA from 1 species